CACCCCCGCCACGAGGAGCCUCCUCCUCCUCGUGUCUCGGACCCUCUUCCCCGUCCGCUCUUCGCACCAGCCUGGAGACUCCAGGGAUUCCCAAGGGCUGGCAAACCAAGCCCAGCCCUUUGGGAGAGCUUGGGAAACCCCUGGCAGGACGCCGGCAGUACGAAGAGCCCGGGAGCAGACGGCAGGGUGGAGAAGACGACCCCGAACUGGAACGUGACCCCUCCCUUUGUUCCAGCCCCAAACCCGGAUUUAUUCAGAGCCACGUUUUCUCUUUACCCAUCCAUCUACAGAAAGACGUCAUUGAGUGCAGUUCCUGAAGGUUCCACCGUCUCCAAACCAAGGAGGGGACAAAGGGCUGACAUACUGAGCAUACCAUAUGGAAGGCUCUGUUGGGUCGUGCUAACGAUGUCAGUAGAAAGUUGAAGACACAAUUCCUAAAGUCCUUUUCGUCUCCCACCUUCCAACCUCCGCAGUGUGCUGUGCCAUUUCUGCUGCCAGCGGUGCCCAUGCUCCGAGGCUACCCAUCUCUUCAGCUCCAGCUCAGAAAGCCCGCUUGAAACAGCGCCAGCCAAAUCUGAUUCCUCUCCCCUCCCAAUGCCCGGCACAUUCAGUCUGUACCUUUCUCACGGCACAGCGUGUGGCCUGUCUCGUAUUCUAGUGAUCUGUUUACUAAUCCUGUUCUUCUAACCAGAUUAAAAAGUCCUUGAGGCGGAAACAAAGUCUGCCUCUUUGAGCCCCCUCCCCCCCCCCAUCACUUGAGCUCAUCCCCCACAGGCCAAGUUUGGCACUGGAGUUGAUGUUCAGUAAACGUUGGGUGUAUUGAAAUGAUUUCCUGCCCUUGGGCAGUUUGCAGACCAGUUGAAGAGACAAACACACAGCUCGUGAGGUUAAAUAAUAACCCAAGCCAGCAGGUGAUAUCCAUCAUGGACAUUCUCCGUCCCAAAUCGUGACUUUGAGCCCCGUCUCUGCCACGUACUACCGGGAAAUUCCUCGCCACUGGACCGCACCCGCCCUUGAGGACCUCCCCAUCUCUUUGGGCAGAGCAGAAGCCAGACAGAGCAGGGGACUGUGAAGUGACAAUCCUCAGCCCUGUGUGUGCCAGGAGCCUCCGAGGGGCAGGCACCACACUGCAGGCGGGCAGGGGCCGCAGAGGAGCGUGGUGUGGGCUGCUGGGACAGAGCUCCUCUCAGAGGAGGUGGGGACCCCGUGGAGUACGUGACUCGUGCCCUUCCAGGCUGCACGCUCCAGUUAGCAGGACAGAGACCCCUCCCCACCCAUCUCCAACCUUCCCAGGCUUCCUGCUCUGCUGGGAGGCCCUGUCACCACACACACACAUACUCUCUCUCUCUCUCUCUCUCUCUCUCUUGCACUCACACCCCCCUCCCAGGCACCCCUGAGAGGACCAGCUGCAGCUGGGAGGUGGGGGUGGGGAGAGUACUGCCAGGGUUCUCAGAUCCCUAGCCUCCCUCUCCCACCCCUCCCUCGCCCCCAACUGCUGAGCUGCUUCUAGGUUUAAAGCAAAACAUGAAUCUGUCCUUCCUGCUGUUCAGUGGCAGCAGCCCUGCCUGGAAUUAUUUUUAGCAUGGAUGCAGGGAAGGCACAGUUCUCCUUGACUUUCACUGGGGACAUCCCCCACCCCCCAGCCAAGACUUGGCGGGGGGGGGGGAGGUCAGUACGGAAACCCCCUCCCAGAAAGGGGAAAUGGGUGUGUUUUCUGUUCCUUCAGCUCACCAGAACAGGAGUUGUAGUCAAGCUUGGGGUUGUGCUGAUGGGAAAUUCUAGGUUCCAAAGCCCAUGGGUUCCACCCCACCUUUGUCUGUGUCCCCCUAAGUCUGAGAAGCAGGAAGUGCAUGAUGUCUGCAGCCGAGAUGCCCAAUCUGUGGGUGUUGGGGUCCAAGGGGAGCCACUUGGUUACACCCAACACUGUGGACUAACGACAUAGGGACACCUAUGGGUGCAGGGUGUGGUGUUUACACGGGUGCUUGCUUUAUAAUCGAUUAAACUGAGCGUGUCUGUUCUAUAUA